rnacentral:sRNA from 1 species
GCUGGGUGCUGUGGCACACGCCUGUAGUCCCAGUGACUGAGGAGGCUGAGGCAGGAGGAUUGCAAGUUCCAGGGUAGCCUCAGCAACUUGGUGAGGCCUUAAACAACUUAGUGAGACCCUGUCUCAA